rnacentral:lncRNA from 1 species
UUCUGAAAGGUUUUAAUAUCAAAGCUUGAUUAUCACAAGCAACACAUAUGCAAUAUGUUUCUGUAAUAAUUUUUAAGGAAAAUUUGAGAUGCUUUCUUUGAGAUAUGCAAAAUUGUGUUCUAUUGAGUUGUCAACAGAGUUAUGCCACAUUUCAUUGAGUCCUCAUAAUAGCAAAACUAAUUAAACAAAGUGCUAUCAAGCACUGUAGAAUAGAUUGCUUUUGUUUAUCAGGAAAUUUUAAGCUAUAUUUGCAGAAGCAUCGGCAGUGAAAAGAUAUUGUAGAAAUUACGGAUCAAAUCAAAUUCAUAAGCAUUUUAUUUUAAUUCUUUCAGACCUUUGUUAUUUGGAAAGAAUGAAAUGAUAGAAUAAAACAAACAAGAAUAAAAAUACACAUUACACUAUGAAGUGACUCACUUGACAUAAAAAUAAUACCAGACACAAUCAUAUAGCUUGUUUAGAAAAUGAGUGUUUAUAUAUAUGAAUUAUGUUUAAAAAGACAAAGUAUUGAUGUAUAUCGAGUUUAUAUAGUAUAGAUACCCCCAAACUGUAGUAUAAUUCUUGAAUGGGUAAAUGUCCACCGUCAAAAUCAAUCUUGACCUUUAUAUUAUGGUCCACUUGACCUUUAUAUUAUGGUCCAUGACAUUGUGUUUAAAUUCAAAAAAGAUUCUGUCAGGUGGAACAUUUACUAUCAUCCUGAAAUAAAAGAAACACCCAAUUAAAACUAAGGGGAAUAAUUCUUGAUCAGAAAAGUCACAUCUUAAAAUAAUAAGUUAAUUAUAGAAGAAACUUCAAAGUUUAUCUAUCUAGUCAAUUUAAAUUGUCUAUCAGUGCAAUGUUGUUAAGAGAAUUAUAUUCCUACUUAUACUUCAAGUUAAAAUAUAUAUAAUAACAGAAAUGUGUCAAUAUUCUAUUCCACAUGGUGUAUAUUGUGUCAUGGUUUUUUUAAGACAUGCAAACAUGUGUUCUUCUGAGUUAUUCUCCUUUUUCCUGUACUUAUAAUAGCAAAAUAAACUAAUCACUGUGCUUGAUAGUGCUGAAGGGUAAAAAUUGCUUUUAUUGAGCAUCUAACUAAAAAUGUAAUAUGCAUUGGAAGGCAAUAAUUUGAUCUUGAGAUAAAAUUAUAGUUGGUUCAAUGAUCUGGAGAUAAUAAUUUAGUUGGUUCAACUACAUUAUAACUUGAAUAUCUGAGCGUGUAUCUAUUUGAAUGAAUAGAAUGUUGUUAUCAGUGCACUAUGUUUUGUCUAUCUCAAACUAGUAAUAUAAGUUUGGAAAAUAGAAAACUAUCAAGCAAACCACAUGUAGUCUUUGACUGUAAGAAUGCAUCUUAAACCCAAAAACAAAGAGGAGGGGAUUAUCAUUAUUCCAAGUAGAUUCUCAAAUGAUUGUCACUGAAUAUUAUAGUUACAUGGUUAAUUAUUGAACUUCAUUGGUUUAAAACUAUUUAUCAACAACUGAACCCAGAUUGUCGCAGAUUGACAUGUAAAAAUUGUUUCCCACUCAACAAUUUGUUUUCUUCUUGUUCACAUCAAUUGAUUGUAGUGUAUGAAAUAUUUUAUCAAAUGAACAGCUGAACGUUAAACAACAGCUUUGUUUACACUAUUUUUGGAAAAAUAGUAACUCAAGAACUACAAAAGUGUCAACCAACUUUCAAUGCAUCAGAAGUGUUAUGGAGAAAUAAAUUGAGGUUUAAGAAAAAAAAUCAUGAUUUUUGAUACAAUAUCCUUAGCUACAGAAUAGAUAGGUUUUAGAUAUUUUUGGUUUUCAAUGUUUUCAAAUUUGUAAUUGAAUUGUAAGUCAAACAUGUAAGAGUGUUUAUAGUUAACACAUGUUUAGUUAUUUAUAGUAAGGUUGGUUUGAAUGGGGUUUAAAGUUUAAUGCACGAGUCACGGAGUGAAUUCAGGUAGUUUAAAGUCAUUCAAGCCAUUGCAGUUAAAAUGCCCAGUAGCACUUUUCCAAAUAAAUAAUAUAACAAUUUUAUUUUAUUUAUUUUCAGAUUUGUUGACCUUUAGUAUGCGGUAACUAGUACCAGCUAAGAAUGUUCAGUGUAUUUACACAAAAACAUUGAUUUCAUUAUACAAAUACGAAUAAUAAAAUGUGCACUUGUCUCUGCAAGUGGCGUCUCCCAUGUGAGAGUUUGUGGUUAUUUGAUAAAUAUUUUAUAUUCGUUAUAUUAUAUUAGAAUUUAAUCUAUUCUAUAAUCUUCAAGUCAACUUUCAAGGACUAUAUAUGUGACAUAAAAGUUCAACUUAUUCUUCAAUCCCUUUUGCACCAAAGGGAGAUAAUUUGGAGUGUUUUCAAUGAUUAAAACAUUUUAAGUCAUCUGGAUACAAAACAAAUUGAUUGUUUUGGUUGAAUUUUGUACCAUAUCAUAAUGUAACAUCUUAUAGUGUAAUAAAUAAAAUUUCUAAUGAAAAAACAAAUGUUUAAAUUUUUGUUGAAAUGUUUGUACCAUCAAGCCUCCUCAAGUGAACCAAGUUAUCAUUCCUCCAGCAUUUUCCACAAUGCACUGUAAUAAUACUAUAACUAUUGAUACCGAUCCUAAUUUCUAAUUUCAAACAUGUCUCAGAUUAAAAAAAAACACCAAAAAACAUGAAAUAAUUAGAUUUGUAAGAAGAGUGACAAUGCAAAAAAAAUGUAUGAAAAAGAGUUUUUUCAUAUGAGCUAAUAAAAAAACAUAGUCUUGUUGGGUCAGAGGGCUAUUUGUUUCAUUAAACUAUGCACAAAACUUAGAUUCCUUCACAGGCCAACUGAUACAGAGUUUUGUCUAGGCCAACUGAUACAGACUUCUGUAUAGGCCAACUGAUACAGAGUUCUGUCUAGGCCAACUGAUACAGAGUUCUGUUAUUUGAACACGAUUUUUUUCUAAAUUGUGCAUAAUCCUAAUAAUCAUAAAAAAAUCUCUGUUUUGCUUGAUAGUUCUUUAACAUUUUCUCCCAUCCCAGGAUGUCAGUGUGUACUAUACUAGGUCUUUCUUUCUGAAGUCUUAUUUUCAAAGUCCCCAUCCAUCAAAUAUUCUUUGAUAUAGCAUCUACAUAUACUGUGGAUUCAUUAAUAUGGAUACUAAUUUUUGUUGAUUUUGUGGGUGAAACAGGGGAACAACAAAUUUAAAUAUUCAAUGAAACACAAAUUUUCUACAGAAAUGUAUGCAAACUUUUCACAAA